AUGAGCAGGCUUGAAAGCUCAAAAACAGCAGAAUAUCUCCACCAAGAUACGUCUUUAGAUCCUGCUCUCAACCCGUCCUUGGACUCCGAUCACGGUCUCAUUACCCUGGCUUUCCCCUCCACUACUUGGUCUUCCUGCCCAAGUCCACAGAGGACCACUCCCCGCUCAGGGUCAGGACCAAAGCUGACCCCUUCUGCAUCAGUGACUCAGCUGGAAUCCCAUCGCUGGUCUGUCCUGCCUCCUAUCUCCCCUGUCAGAGGACGCUGUGGCACAGCAGCAUCACGCUACUCGGAGCUCAGCUGCAGUCAGUCUCAUGUGUUUGAUGAACUGGAGGCCAUUGCCCCUCGGUCAGCUUCCUGUCCGUCUCUGGACCAGACAUCAGACUCAUCAGGUUCUCCUUCCCCUGAUACAGAGCUGUCUCCUGGCCUGGCAGCGCUAACUGUGGGCUGUGACUCAGGGAAUCUGGGCUCCUUGUCCCGGGUCCAGCUGCUCCUACUGGACCGACUGGAGCCUGAGGCGCCACCGAGUCCCUUCGGUCAGGAAGAAGAGCUGUCGCUGAUGCAGGACUGGUCAGAUCUGAGGAUGCAGUAUGAUCCAGGUUUGACUUCAGCAGGUGUUUUGAGGCCCCUCACAGCUGGCAGCAUCUCUGAAAGGUGUGACUCUCCGGGGAAAGUCCAUGAAAACAAAUCGGAUCAGUCUGAAGGAGGUUCAGGGUCACCGUCUUCAUGGAUCAUAGACCAGAGUCCCUCAUACGACAUGUUCAGAUCCGCCUAUUCCCCCUGCUCCAGCACAGAUGAAAGGGGCCCCACCGAGGAGGAGUCCAAUUAUCCAGGAUGGAGGGACCGAGUGGAGUCCUCGGCUGGAGGAAGGAGGCCUGAGAGUGUUGACCACAGCACUGAAGAGAAGGAGAGAAGGAUGGAGGAGAGGAAAACAAAGGUGCUGCACAUACUUACCAAACUGCAGGACACGCCUCGUCAGCCAAAUGGCAACAAAGGUCGCUCCAACUUUGAGGACUUCGACUUUUUGGCAAAGUAUUGCAUUUUCAGUCAGGAGAAGCUGGCUGAGUACAAAAGAGCUUUUGAAGCAGAGGACAGUGAUGGUGACGGCUACAUCUCCUGCCUUCAGGUUCUACUCGCUCUUAAAAACAUCAUCCCCCCCGAGCUGCUGUCUGAUGAAGAGGAGAUCUACGUCUACAGGAUCCUGGAGAUGGUGGACUUCAGAGUGACAGAUGGGCUCGUAGACCUGAGGCUCUUUGCUGUGAUUUCUAGUCUGGCACAGAAAAUAGCCACCAUGGAUGAGUUUAUGCGAUCUCUAAUCAGCGACAUGGACUUCCGCUCGUUAGAAGUGAGGCUCUUCAAAGCGAAGCAACUGUUCCUGUUCCUCCUGGAGGAGCAGCGAGGAGACACCGGAGCUCAGCAGGGCUUCAUCAGCGCAGAGCAGCUGCUCCUGGAGCUGAAGGCCGGGGGAAUCCAUCUGGAGCAGGAGGCAGCCAUCAGACUGGAGCUGCAGCACAUUCCUCCACUGGACCUGCUGGACUUCCUGGCCUACCUGCCCCUAUUCAUGCUCAUUCACAAGUCUGUCAUCUCCAACCCUCUCGAUGACUCCAUCAACCUCUGACCUCAGUCACUGCGCCGUCCACCCCUGUGCGGCUCAGGUAUCCACAUUACUGCCGCCACACUUAUCAGUACUGUACUCUUGUGUGAGAAGGUGAUACGCAAGACACAGGAAAGCUUAGAUUAAAGGCAACGAGCUCGGCACUGUAGUAAUGUUGUUAAACUCUCAUGAUCUUUAAGGCUUGGACACACCAGCAAUUAAUAUGGCAAUAAUUUUACAGUGAUUUCAACUCAUUCAACUCAUUGGGAUUAUUAGAUUGCAUUUGCAAGCAGGAAAUACCACAUCCGUUUGAACUGUAAUUACGACCAGCAGAGUGGCAAAAACAGUUCAUGUCAGCCUCCAACUUGUAAAUACAAGUCGAAGAUAUUGGGGAUUUCACAAGUUGAAAUAAAAGGUGUUUUUCUCAUUCUGCCAGUAUUACGUGAAUGCAGCAAGAAUUGGCGCGACCUGCCAGUUUGCACCGUUGCCAUCUUGGCUCUCGCAACAAGGAAGUUCCAAGUCUGUUCCUAACAUAACCUGCUCCUCACAAAAUGAACAACAGCUUGUGACAUAUCUGUUACCUUUGGAAAUGGUGCUAAGUUAUACGUUGGUGGGUUGUUAGCCGGGCAUAGCACUGUCACAAUAUCAAAUUUUCACUACAAGAUUAUCGUGGCCAAAAGAAUUCGAAAUGACAACAUUAUUGUGAUAUCUAUAAAUGUUUCUAUAGUAGCCCAGAACGGACAAACCAAUCACUAACUCUAGCCUUAUGCCUUUUUCACACUUGGAGGGCUGAGCUGUAUUCAAAUAGUUCCAAUCUGCAAAUUCACUGCUAGAUGCCGCUAAAUCGUACACACUGGUCCUUUCUAAUGAAAUUCUGCAACUUAAUUUUAUUCUCAGCUAUGACUUCUGCAGAAUUAACUUCUGUGAUAUGUUGAUAAUUAAUAGGAUAAUAAAAGAUAUGUAUGGGAACCCCUACAGGACAAAGCUACAUUAAAUGGGCCUUCUAUGGUUUCUGUUAGAUACAUGACAUUUCAUAGAGCUGUAAAGUGCUGUCUAUGGUCCUGAAAUGUUCUGCAGCAGUGGGUGGAAAUCAAAAAAUCUUACACUGCAGUUAGACAAAGCUUUAAACGCACCACAGAACCAUUAUUUUGGUUGCAGUAGAUAAAAACUCUGUUCCCUGCUUCGGAGGUGGGUUCACGUAGAUUUUCUGAUGCAACAACUGCUUAUUGUUCUGGAGUAUAAAACAAUAUUUAAGCCACUCAGACUGUUGUCCUCUUCUAUCCAACUUAAUCAAUGCUGAUGAAUGAUAUUCAAUAAGAUAUUCAACUGAUAUAGUUUGAGCCAUUGUUUUGCCUCGGCUUUGCCAAUUAGAUACGGCCGUGCUCUCCUGCAGUUCAUACACGCUUGACAGACCGCCAUACAGGAAAACAUAAUGAGCUCCGACAGCCAGCAAAACCAGGAUUGUUAGAUCAGGGACGUCCUGUAAGCAACAUAUGUCCUGGUGUAAACCCCCCAAAAAAGACGAGAGAAAACUCAUUCUUCAACUUAAUGUUUAACCUGCUUUUUAAACUCUUUAGAUACAUAUAUUCAAUUCUGCCAUUUAUAAUAAUACGUUUAAAGUGUUCUUAUCAGUGUUUGUCUUCAGUGUUCUCCCCUACUUUUGUCUUUUCUUCCGUCAGAUGCAAUGCCUCCCUUACUUUGCUGUGACCUUUUAGGAAUCUAAACAAGCAAUUUGUGCGUGUUACCAUCUGUCGCUAACAGGUUCAGUAAUGAUUUUACCUAUACUUCCUUAAGGAUGACUUGCUUGAUGAUUUUAUUACUGUUUUCAAAUGACUGUAUAAGCUCUGAGAAGGUUUAAAGGUCCAGUGUGUAACAUUUAGGAGGAUCAAUUCACAGAAAGGGAAUAUAAUAUUCAUCAUUAUUGUAUAAUCACAUGAAAAUAAGAAUAUUUGCGUUUGUGUUACCUUAUAUUGAGUUGCAAUCUACCACUACACCAUGAGAUGCCACUAAAUCCUACACACUGGUACUUUAAGUCUCCAAAGUUUUGAACAUCAUACAAAUAGUGUUGUUUGGGGUUUUGUAGUUUUACUAACCUCAACUCAAGAUAUGAAAAAAACUCCAAUAAAAUCUCUCCCAGGUUUCCCCAAAACCAGCCGCCUCAGUUUAGUUGUAAUUUACUGUUCAGAUUGUGUCGGCUACGUCAGAAUCUUCUCCACAGCUGGAUCAGAAAUGUUUCUACAUGUUGCUGUAAAAGCAUAUUAAUGCAAACACAAAUACUCUGGAGAACAGAAAAAAUACAGAACAGGAUAUUUUUUGUCAAAAACUCAAGCUUUUACAUGUCGAAUUGCAUCACAUGUGUGUACAAGAGUGAAGGUGUGUUGCUUAUGUUAUGUUUGUUAUGUAUGUCUGGAACUGUAUGAGUAUAUGUAUAUUGUCUUUUAUUAUACAUGAUAUGUUAAAUCCGGCACCAUUCUUCAUAUUUUAUUGUUCAUAUGUUUGUCCAAAUAAAAAUGUACAGGGUGAGUGUUAAAAGUCAAAUGAGCCCUUUUCUUAUACAGAUUUGAGGUAUAUUCUGACUUUGAGUUAAAAAUUUUAAUUUUUUGUGAAAAUAUGGGCCCAAAUCUACUACUGUGAUCCUGUUGUAAACAAAAGAUUUAGUUGUUGUCUGGUAUGUGUGAAUUAAAAAGCCCUGUCAGUCAAUUUGGGAAAGAUAGCAAGCUCUAGUUGUGUUCCUCUGGAGGUGUGGUGACCUUUUUAUUGAUUUGGAUUUUGAAUUGUACCUUUUAAUAAAUGACUUUUAACAGUUUAAACAAUCACAGACUUUAAUUAAUAAGUCUGUUGGAAACCUUAAAAAAUAAUAAACUGCUCACAAAUCAGGCUAAACUUGUAUGUGAAUAUUGCGUCUCAGACUCUAAAACAUUUGACUAGACUGACUUUACUUAAACCUGCUAGUUGUGUCUGAUUACAGACUUGUGAGUAACAGUGAAGCUGCAGCCCUGUUCAUUUGUCAAGGGACCCUCUUCCCCCCUCUCAGGGCCCCCUGGUGGCCCAUGAACCCUCCUUUGAGAGCAAAAGAGGUGGCGCACGCGCAUCUUACACAAUGACCCUGAACGCACCACGUUGUUUUACACUUUAUUUUUUGUUGUGAAUAAAAUAUUUUGUGCUUUUGUUAAAUCUGAGAGACUUAAAUGUGUGAAUGUAUACAUUUGAUAAGAUUUCUCAGAAUUAUUAUUAUCCUAUAGUUCCUUUAAGCCUCACACACACACACACACACACACACACACACACACUGGGCUUUUUUUUUUUUCUCCUUCCCAGGUGGUGAUUGUUGUGUGUUCAGCGGCAUGCUGCUGUCAGGAGGCACACGCCAUCAGCCAAUUCAGCUCUGUGUCUCCACUCGACCACCCUACAAACCCCAUUCACUCAUUAAACCAGACACGCGUCCGGCUGCAGCCUCCGCUCUACCUGUCAAACUUCGUUUUGCAGAAACCCAAACUCUACCUCCGAAAAACUACUGGUGGUCGCCAAACUGCAGUCCUCCCACUGACACUCCCUCCGAGACAAACGCUCUCAUUAUUUCUUUUCACUUGGUUUGAGAAGUUCGGAUGAAAAAAAUCCGAAGGCAACAGCUUAGUUUCAGUUUCUGCGCGUCUGUGUGCACGAACAUUGGUACACAUGGUGAAUCCACUU
rnacentral:lncRNA from 1 species